AUUAGGUUAUGGGGCUUAGGAAAGGUUUAAGGUUUUUGGCGUUAGGGUUAAAAUCACUGUCCAAAACCUUUGUAGGAACUCUUUUCCAACCUUUUGGAGUUAGUUAGACCAAAAAAAAAAGAAAAAUGAAAAAAAAAUAUUUGGGGUUUUGGGGUGCCUGAAGGCAAUACCCGGGAAUCAGUUUCUGGGGCUUUGGAAAGGUUUAAGGUUUUUGGCGUUAGGGUUAAAAUCACUGUCCAAAACCUUUGUAGGAACUCUUUUCCAACCUUUUGGAGUCAGUUCGACCAAAAAAAAAGAAAAAUGAAAAAAAAAUAUUUGGGGUUUUCAGGCUUCCUGGAGGUAAUACCCUAAUAUUAGGUUAAGGGGCUAUGGUAAGGUUUAAGGUUUUUGGCGAUAGGGUUAAACUAACUGUCCAAAACCUUUUUAGGAACAUGUUUCAGACCUUUUGGAGUUGGUUACACACAAAAAAAAUGUAAAAUGAAAAAAAUAUAUUUGGGGUGUUCGGGCUUCCUGAAGGUAUUAGGUUAUGGGGCUAUGGUAAGGGUUCAGUUUUUUGGCGUUAGGGUUAAAAUUAUUGUCCAAAACCUUUGUAGGAACUCUUUUCCAACCUUUUGGAGUCAGUUAGACCAAAAAGAAAAGAAAAAAGAAAAAAAAUAUAUUUGGGGUGUUCGGGCUUCCUGAAGGUAAUACCGGGUAUUAGGUUUUGGGGCUAGGGUAAGGUUUGAGGUUUUUGGCAUUAGGGUUAAAAUCACUGUCCAAAACCUUUGUAGGAACUCUUUUCCAACCUUUUGGAGUUAGGUAGACCAAAAAAAAAAAGAAAAAAAAAAAAAAAUAUUUGGGGUUUUCAGGCUUCCUGGAGGUAAUACCCUAAUAUUAGGUUAAGGGGCUAUGGUAAGGUUUAAGGUUUUUGGCGUUAGGGUUAAACUAACUGUCCAAAACCUUUUUAGGAACAUGUUUCAGACCUUUUGGAGUUGGUUACACACAAAAAAAAUGUAAAAUGAAAAAAAAAUAUUUGGGGUGUUCGGGCUUCCUGAAGGUAUUAGGUUAUGGGGCUAUGGUAAGGGUUCAGUUUUUUGGCGUUAGGGUUAAAAUUAUUGUCCAAAACCUUUGUAGGAACUCUUUUCCAACCUUUUGGAGUUAGGUAGACCAAAAAGAAAAGAAAAAAGAAAAAAAAAUAUUUGGGGUUUUCGGGCUUCCUGAAGGUAAUACCCGGGUAUUAGGUUUUGGGGCUAGGGUAAGGUUUGAGGUUUUUGGCAUUAGGGUUAAAAUCACUGUCCAAAACCUUUUUAGGAACAUGUUUCAGGCAUUUUGCAGUUGGUUAAACCAAAAAAAAAAAGUAAAAUGAAAAAAAAAUAUUUGGGGUGUUCGGGCUUCCUGAAGGUAAUAACCGGGUAUUAGGUUAUGGGGCUAUGGUAAGGUUUAAGGUUUUUUGACGUUAGGGUGAAAAUAACUGUACAAAACCUUUGUAGGAACUCUUUUCCGACCUUUUGGAGUUAGGUAGACCAAAAAAAAAAGAAAAAAGAAAAAAAAAUAUUUGGGGUGUUCGGGCUUCCUGAAGGUAAUACCCGGGUAUUAGGUUUUGGUGCUAGGGUAAGGUUUGAGGUUUUUGGCAUUAGGGUUAAAAUCACUGUCCAAAACCUUUUUAGGAACACCUUUCAGACCUUUUGGAGUUUGUACAACAAAAAAAAAAUGUAAAAUGAAAAAGAAAUAUUUGGGGUGUUCGGGCUUCCUGAAGGUAAUACCCGGGUAUCAGGUUUUUGGGCUAGGGUAAGGUUUGAGGUUUUUGGCGUCAGGGUUAAAAUCAAUGUCCAAAACCUUUGGAGGAACUCUUUUCCAAGCUUUUGGAGUCAGUUACACCAAAAAAAAUGUAAAAUGAAAAAAAAAUAUUUGGGGUGUUCGGGCUUCCUGAAGGUAAUACCCCGGUAUUAGGUUAUGGGGCUAUGGUAAGGGUUAAGGUUUUUGGAUUAGGGUUAAAAUCACUGUCCAAAACCUUUUUAGGAACAUGUUUCAGACCUUUUGCAGUUGGUUAAACCAAAAAAAAAUGUAAAAUGAAAAAAAUAUAUUUGGGGUUUUCGGGCUUCCUGAAGGACCUAUUAGGUUAUGGGACUAUGGUAAGGUUUAAGGUUUUUGGCGUUAGGGUUAAAACCACUGUCCAAAACCUUUGUAGAAACUCUUUUCCAACCUUUUGGAGUUACGUAGACCAAAAAAAAAGGAAAAAUGAAAAAAAAAUAUAUUUGGGGUGUUCGGGCAUCCUGAAGGUAUUAGGUUUUGGGGCUAAGGUAAGGUUUAAGGUUUUUGGCGUGAGGGUUAAAAUCACUGUCAAAAACCUUUGUAGGAACUCUUUUCCAACCUUUUGGAGUCAGUAUGACCAAAAAAUAAAUAAAAAAAAUAAAAAAAAUGUAUUUGGGGUGUUCGGGCUUCCUGAAGGUAAUACCCGGGUAUUAGGUUAUGGGGCUUAGGAAAGGUUUAAGGUUUUUGGCAUUAGGGUUAAAAUCACUGUCCAAAACCUUUGUAGGAACUCUUUUCCAACCUUUUGGAGUUAGGUAGACCAAAAAAAAAAGAAAAAAGAAAGAAAAAUAUUUGGGGUUUUCGGGCUUCCUGAAGGUAAUACCGGGGUAUUAGGUUAUGGGGCUAUGGUAAGGUUUAAGGUUUUUGACGUUAGGGUUAAAAUCACUGUCAAAAACCUUUGUAGGAACUCUUUUCCAACCUUAUGGAGUUCGUGAGACCAAAAAAAAAAAGACAAAUGAAAAAAAAAAAUUUGGGGUGUUCGGGCUUCCUGAAGGUAAUACCCGGGUAUUAGGUUAUGGGGCUAGGGUAAGGUUUGAGGUUUUUGGCAUUAGGGUUAAAAUCACUGUCCAAAACCUUUGUAGGAACUCUUUUCCAACCUUUUGGAGUUAGACCAAAAAAGAAUGAAAAAUGAAAAGAAAAUAUUUGGGGUUUUCGGGCUUCCUGAAGGUAAUACCCGGGUAUCAGGUUAUGGGGCUAUGGUAAGGUUUAAGGUUUUUGGCGUUAGGGUUAAAAUCACUGUCCAAAACCUUUGUAGGAACUCUUUUCCAACCUUUUGGAGUCAGUUAGACAAAAAAAAUGAAAAAUGAAAUAAAAAAUAUUUGGGGUGUUCAGGCUUCCUGAAGGUAAUACCCGGUAUUAGGUUAUGGGGCUUAGGAAAGGUUUAAGGUUUUUGGCGUUAAGGUUAAAAUCACUGUCCAAAACCUUUGUAGGAACUCUUUUCCAACCUUUUGGAGUCAGUUAGACCAAAAAAAAGAAAAAUGAAAAAAAAAAAUAUUUGGGGUUUUCAGGCUUCCUGGAGGUAAUACCCGGGCAUUAGGUUAUGGGGCUUUGGAAAGGUUUAAGGUUUUUGGCGUUAGGGUUAAAAUCACUGUCCAAAAACCUUUGUAGGAACUCUUUUCCAACCUUUUGGAGUUAGGUAGACCAAAAAAAAAAAGAAAAAAGAAAAAAAAAUAUUUGGGGUGUUCGGGCUUCCUGAAGGUAAUACCCGGGUAUUAGGUUUUGGGGCUAGGGUAAGGUUUGAGGUUUUUGGCAUUAGGGUUAAAAUCACUGUCCAAAACCUUUGUAGGAACUCUUUUCCAACCUUUUGGAGUUAGUUAGACCAAAAAAAAAGAAAAAUGAAAAAAAUAUAUUUUGGGUUUUCGGGCUUCCUGAAGGCAAUACCCGGGAAUCAGUUUCUGGGGCUUUGGAAAGGUUUAAGGUUUUUGGCGUUAGGGUUAAAAUCACUGUCCAAAACCUUUGUAGGAACUCUUUUCCAAGCUUUUGAGUUAGUUAGACCAAAAAAAAAUUAAAAAUGAAAUAAAAAAUAUUUGGAUUGCAAAAAUAUAUCAAGAUCCAAAGAUGGUGUGCGCACUUGUCUGUGGUCAUUUACCAUUAUAAUGAAUGGGAGGCGCAGUUUCUACCAAAACACUUGCUGCAGACAAACUUCAUGACCUAUAUGAAAAAAGUCUGGACCAUGAGUGAGGGCACAAACACAGCUAGUAUAUAUCCAAAUGGCAAGUUGCUCCUCCUUUCGGUUUUGCAGAGAGAGCGGUGUGUUUGAGCCAUUGAGCGAUGGGCAGGAAAAACUUGACUUUUUCUCCUGCCUUGGGGGGGCGCUCUUUUGGUGAGAAAAAAAUUACUUCACAAAUGUUUUGAUGGCUGAACAUUGCAUCAUCCUAGAAAACUUGGAUGAGUGGCCAAAACUUCUUUGUCUGCUGUAAAAUCAAAUUGGAUUAAUAUUUUUUCCAGAUUUUUUUUUGUACAUCUCUUAUUUUACUUCUGCCCUGUUCAAAACUAGCAAAUGUUUCAUUAAAGAUAUUUUUUUAACCCUUUAAGAGCCUUUUAAAUUUUUCUGUAGUAUCAGAUUUAAUAGACAACUCCUUUGGCGCCACUCAGUGGCCAUAACUACUUUGUCUGCUGUUAAUAGACAACUCCCUUUGGCGCCACUCAGUGGCCAAAACAAUUUGUAAUCAUAUGGAUUUUUGGGUUAUCUUUGGCGCCCCCUAGAACGUAAAACGUGGGGUUCAGCGUCAUGAUUUGUACAACUUUGAAUGGUCAGUUAGACCAAAAAGAAUGAAAAAUGAAAAGAAAAUAUUUGGGGUUUUCGGGCUUCCUGAAGGUAAUACCCGGGUAUCAGGUUAUGGGGCUAUGGUAAGGUUUAAGGUUUUUGGCGUUAGGGUUAAAAUCACUGUCCAAAACCUUUGGAGGAACUCUUUUCCAACCUUUUGGAGUUAGUUAGACCAAAAAAAAGAAAAAUGAAAAAAAAAUAUUUGGGGUUUUCGGGCUUCCUGAUGGCAAUACCCGGGAAUCAGUUUCUGGGGCUUUGGAAAGGUUUAAGGUUUUUGGCGUUAGGGUUAAAAUCACUGUCCAAAACCUUUGUAGGAACUCUUUUCCAAGCUUUUGGAGUUAGUUACACCAAAAAAAAAAGAAAAAUGAAAAAAUAUUUGGGGUGUUCGGGCUUCCUGAAGGUAAUACCCAGGUAUUAGGUUAUGGGGCUAGGGUAAGGUUUUAGGUUUUUGGCGUUAGGGUUAAAAUCAAUGUCCAAAACCUUUGUAGGAACUCUUUUCCAAGCUUUUGGAGUUAGUUAGACCAAAAAAACAUGAAAAAUGAAAAAAUAUAUAUUUGGGGUGUUCGGGCAUCCUGAAGGUAAUACCCGGGUAUUAGGUUUUGGGGCUAAGGUAAGGUUUAAGGUUUUUGGCGUGAGGGUUAAAAUCACUGUCAAAAACCUUUGUAGGAACUCUUUUCCAACCUUUUGGAGUCAGUAUGACCAAAAAAAAAUAAAAAAAAUGUAUUUGGGGUGUUCGGGCUUCCUGAAGGUAGUACCCGGGUAUUAGGUUAUGGGGCUUAGGAAAGGUUUAAGGUUUUUGGCGUUAGGGUUAAAAUCACUGUCCAAAACCUUUGUAGGAACUCUUUUCCAACCUUUUUGAGUCAGUUAGACCAAAAAAAAAGAAAAAAGAAAAAAAUAUAUUUGCGGUUUUCAGGCUUCCUGGAGGUAAUACCCGGGUAUUAGGUUAUGGGGCUUAGGAAAGGUUUAAGGUUUUUGGUGAUAGGGUUAAAAUAACUGUCCAAAACCUUUUUAGGAACAUGUUUCAGACCUUUUGGAGUUGGUUACACCAAAAAAAAAUGUAAAAUGAAAAAAAAAUAUUUGGGGUGUUCAGGCUUCCUGAAGGUAAUACCCGGGUAUUAGGUUAUGGGGCUAUGGUAAGGUUUAAGGUUUUUGACGUAAGGGUGAAAAUAUCUGUCCAAAACCUUUGUAGGAACUCUUUUCCAACCUUAUGGAGUUCGUUAGACCAAAAAAACAAGAAAAAUGAAAAAAAAAUAUUUGGGGUGUUCGGACUUCCUGAAGGUAAUACCCGGGUAUUAGGUUAUGGGGCUAUGGUAAGGUUUAAGGUUUUUGACGUUAGGGUGAAAAUAACUUUCCAAAACCUUUGUAGGAACUCUUUUCCAACCUUAUGGAGUUCGUUAGACCAAAAAAAAAAGAAAAAUGAAAAAAAAAAAUUUGGGGUGUUCGGGCUUCCUGAAGGUAAUACCCAGGCAUUAGGUUUUGGGGCUAGGGUAAGGUUUGAGGUUUUUGGCAUUAGGGUUAAAAUCACUGUCCAAUACCUUUUUAGGAACACGUUUCAGACCUUUUGGAGUUUGUACACCAAAAAAAAAAUGUAAAAUUAAAAAAAAAUAUUUGGGGUGUUCAGGCUUCCUGAAGGUAAUACCCGGGUAUCAGGUUAUGGGGCUAUGGUAAGGUUUAAGGUUUUUGGCGUUAGGGUUAAAAUCACUGUCCAAAACCUUUGUAGGAACUCUUUUCCAACCUUUUGGAGUCAGUUCGACCAAAAAAAAAGAAAAAUGAAAAAAAAAAUAUUUGGGGUUUUCAGGCUUCCUGGAGGUAAUACCGUAAUAUUAGGUUAAGGGGCUAUGGUAAGGUUUAAGGUUUUUGGCGAUAGGGUUAAACUAACUGUCCAAAACCUUUUUAGGAACAUGUUUCAGACCUUUUGGAGUUGGUUACACACAAAAAAAUGUAAAAUGAAAAAAAAAUAUUUGGGGUGUUCGGGCUUCCUGAAGGUAAUAACCGGGUAUUAGGUUAUGGGGCUAUGGUAAGGUUUAAGGUUUUUGACGUUAGGGUGAAAAUAACUGUCCAAAACCUUUGUAGGAACUCUUUUCCAACCUUUUUGUUACGACCAGCUCGUUUAAGGGAGAAGGGAAGCAACAUAAAACCGACCAGAUGUUAAAUGAUCAAAUCAAGUUAUUUAUUAACAAAAGUAAAAUUGGCAGUAACAACAAAAAGAGAGGCAACAAAGGCCUUAAAGGAAACUUAACAGGUUGCCAAAAACACAGGGAGACUCUAACCUAGAGUUAGUUACCAGUAAAAUAAACAGAUCUGCUCACAAUCGGCAAGAAACAAACUAAAACACAACUCUCAGCCCUAAUGCUGGAUACAAAAGAAAGCAGGUAGGCGUGUGCAAACCAAAAUGCCUCACAAGCUAUGAAAAAGUCCUUAUUCACAAUUACUAAGACAAUCAGUCUGAGGAAGAGGCAUGGGAGCUCCACUGGUUACAGCGUGCUCCCUGAUCUGCAGGUCCGCUGGAGUUUUAUCCACUCCCCCCAAGUGGCUCCUCUCAAUUGGCAGAAGCCCUCAGCCAGUCAGUGUUUGCAGUUUCCAGGUGGAGGUGAUCAGGCACUUAAUUGAUCCGCAGCCACGGCAACCUGUGAACUGCAGGCAGCAUGCACACACAGGCACUCUCACACCCGCACACACACACACACACACAGAGAGAGAGAGGAAGACCCAAGACUCGCCACUCUAAGGCGGCGGCCGUAACACCCCUCCCCUUAAGAGGCAAACCCUCCUAAGGAGGUUUGUCAUGAGCAAAAAAAAAAAAACCACACAGUCAACAUUACAUUCUGGACAACGCAUCUGCUACCACAUUGUCGGACCCCUUUUUGUGCUGGAUCUCCACAUUGUAAUCCUGCAUGACCAGUGCCCACCGCAUAAGCCUUUGGUUGUGGUUAUACAUACGAUGCAGAAAGACGAGUGGGUUGUGGUCAGUGAAGACCACCACUGGCAGAGGACUGGAACCUACGUAUACUUCAAAGUGUUGAAGUGACCAUAACAAAGCAAGGGUUUCUUUUUCUAUGAUUGAGUAGUUCACCUGAUGCUUGUUAAAUUUGCGGGAAAAAUAUCCUACUGGGUGGUCAACUCCAUCACUAUCCUCCUGCAACAGGACAGCCCCGACACCUACUGCAGAGGCAUCUACCUCAAGUUUGAACGGCUGGGAGAAGUCAGGAGCUGCAAGGACAGGGGCGUGGCUAAGGAGGGACUUUGCGCUGUCAAACGCAUGCUGACAGGCAGGGGACCAAUCAAAGUCGACUUUGGGACUAGUUAGAGAAGUCAACGGCUGAACAACGGAGGAGAAGUUGCGGCAGAAGCUACGGUAGUAGCCCGCCAUGCCCAGAAAACGACGGAGCGCCUUGCGGGUGGUUGGGACCGGAAACUCUGCUAUGGCAGUUACCUUGGCGUCGAGAGGCUUAACUUGACCCUGCCCAACCUGUCGUCCUAAAUAGGUGACGGUGGCCUUACCGAAAUCACACUUGGCGAGAUUUAGCGUUAGGGUCGCGUGCGCAAGACGAGUGAACACCUGUUCGAGGAUGCGGAGGUGCUCCUGCCACGUCACUGUGUAAACAAUUAAGUCAUCCAAGUACGCGUUACAGUUUGGCAGCCCGGCCAAGACGGUAUUAACGAGCCGCUGGAAGGUGGCCGGGGCGUUACACAUGCCAAACGCCAUGACGGUGUACUGCAAGAAACAGUCAGGAGUCACAAACGCGGAGAUCUCAGAUGCGCGCUCCGUUAACGGGACUUGCCAGUAUCCUUUCAAUAGGUCCAGCUUGCUGACGUACUUAGCGCUGCCAAGCGUGUCGACACAAUCUUCCAUUCUAGGAAGAGGAACGAGUCUUUGACAGUUACUGAAUUUACCUUUCGCAGAUCUGUGAUAAAACGAGGGGUACCGUCUGAUUUUUUCUCCAACAAACAUGGAGAGCUCCAAGCGCUGGAGCUUGGCACAGCUAAACCGUGUUUUAACAAAUAAUCUGUUUCUUUUUUCAUGAGCUGGCGCUUCACGGGGUUGAGUCUGUACGGAUGCUGUCGGAUGGGCUUUGCUCCGUUGACAUCUAUGUCAUGUUGCAGAACAGUAGUGCGAGUUGGAACGUCGCCGAAAAGACACUUAAAAUUAUCGAUCAAAGCAAUUAGGUCACUUUGUUGCGCGCGGGUCAAAUGACUUAGCUGGGACGAUAAUGUUUUCAGUGACUCCGAAUUCAGCAGUCGCGCUGUUUGAUGCGAUGAGGUACACGUCUGUAAAUCAUCCUCAUCAGCAAUGGUAGGAGACUCAGUGACAAUCAGCGCAUUGACAGCGAUAGUAUUAGCUUUUGGGGGAACCACUGGUGGAGUGACAGCUGGGUUCGGUUCACGUGUGAAGUAAGGUUUGAGCAUGUUUAUGUGACAAACACGACUUUUACGCCUUCUCUCCGGGGUAGCAAUAACAUAGUUGAGGUCACUGAGGCAUUCACGGACCUCAUAGGGACCGGUAAAUUUAGCAGAGAGAGAAGAACCAGGGAUCGGCAGAAAGGCCAGCACUUUGUCACCAACAUCAAAUCGGCGGGGGGCCGGCAGAUCGGUCAUAACGACGCUUCAUCACAGCCUGGGAGGACAAAAGACACUCUUUAGCGAGCGAGUUUGCACGGUGUAAACGCUCGCGGAAUUUACUCACAAAAUCAAGUACGUUCUCUUCACGUGAGACUUCAGAGGACAGGAAUUUUUCUUGCAGAGAUUUAAGCGGACCGCGGAGUGUGUGGCCAAAUACGAGCUCUGCGGGGCUCAAACCUAAGGAUUCCUGGACAGCGUCACGAGCGGCGAACAACACGAAAGGAACCCCUUCAUCCCAACUUUUACCUGUCUCGAGGGAGUAUUUACGCAGCAUGGAUUUUAAUGUCUGAUGCCAACGUUCUAACGCUCCCUGGGAUUCAGGAUGAUACGCGCUGGACACGGAGUGUUGGACAUUGAGCGUUUUAAGGACUUGUCUGAACAACCGAGACUGGAAGUUUGUACCUUGAUCGGUCUGGAUAACACGAGGGAGGCCAAACGUGGAGAAAAACUUUGUCAGGGCUUUGACAACAGAGCUGGACGUAAUUUUACGCAGCGGGACGGCUUCCGGAUAGCGGGUGGCAGCACACAUAAUGGUGAGUAGGUACUGAUUACCUGUUUUAGAGCGGGGCAAUGGGCCUACACAGUCUAAGAUUACACGCUCAAAGGGCUCACCUAUGGUAGGAAAAGGAUGGAGUGGAGCAGGUGGGAUGGUUUGGUUUGGUUUACCCGCUAGUUGACACACAUGACAAGAGCGACAGAAUUUGGCUACAUCAGAUUUUAACCCAGGCCAGAAGAAAUGCUUGAGGAUGAGGUUGUAGGUCUUAUUCACCCCCAAAUGACCUGACCAUUUGCUCUCGUGGGCAACUGACAAUACAUGCUGCCGGUAUACAAAAGGCACUACAACUUGUAAAGCACUAUAUUCGCAAUCAGACACUGCAAGAGUCCAUUUACGCACCAGGAUGUCUUUAUUCAUUAGGUAAGAUACUGUUUCACCACUUGCUUUGUCGGCACUCACCACACUUUUGAAGCAACGUGCCAGAGUCGGGUCAGCCCUCUGCGCAGCGGCGAGACGUUCACUGCCCACCGGCAGCGUCGGACUGUCCGACGGCGCCGAACUCAGAUUCGCAGAACGCACGGGCUCGGCACUUUCUGACCGCAGAGAUGUGAGAGCUUUCUCCUUCACAACUUCCACAUCUGAAAAAGCAGACAUUAGCACAGAAUCCGACAGUGAGAAUUCAUCCAGUUUACGAGAUUGCGCACGAGUUACAGCACAAGAUGGAAACGGUUUCUGAGCAGUUUCUGUUUCAUUUUCUAUAUCAGGGCUCUGCGGAGAGUCAGACACUUCUAGUGCAGGGGUUACCUGGCCACCAGCGAUGUCGUUGCACAUAAGUAGAACUACUCCUUUUAUAGGCAGAGCGGGACAAACAGCCACAGGAAAAACACCACUUAUCAACCGGGACUUAAUGUGGACUGUAUGCACCGGUUGUGGGACAUAACCCAUCUCAAUACCUUGCAAGGCAACAGUAUAACCACAAAAAGACUUUUCAGAAAAUGGCAAUGCACUAGCCAGUAUAACAGAUUGAGAGCCACCGGUGUCCCUCAAAAUGCGUACUGGGCACUGAUCAGCAGUCUUACCUGUCAGAGAUACAUACCCGUCGAAUAUGAACGGCUCAAAACAUGGAUCUGGGCAAACAGAAGAAACAGCAUUAGAUACUACACGUUUCUCAGAUUUAAUGAGCCCAACGCCUUUAGGGGGCGAUCCGUUGCCAUUCUGUUUUUUCCUGUUUAAGGAGGGACAGUUUGCAAUGAGGUGUCCAGAUUCAUGACAAUAGUUACAGCUUCUUUCAUCCCUUCUGUGGAACACUCUGGCUUGUCCUCUCUGUGGUGCCGGAGCACGAGGCUUUUCAUAAGUAGACAAAAACACAGGUUUGUGGGUUAGCACAAAUUCAUCAGCCAGUACAGAGGCUGCAGAGAGAGAUGAAACUUUCUGUUCAUUUAGGUACACAACAAUGCGCUCUGGUAGACAUUUCUUAAAUUCUUCCAGAAGAAUUAGUUCACGGAGUGAACUGAAAUCAGCAGUUUUACUAGCGUUACACCAUUUAUCAAAAAGAGUUCCCUUUUCCCUUGCGAACUCCACAUACGUCUGUUCAGGGCCCCUUGUGUGGUUCCGAAAUUUUUGCCUGUAAGCUUCAGGGACUAAUUCAUAGGCACGUUAAAUAGACAUCUUUACCUUUUCAUAGUUCAGGCUCUCCGCUAAAGGUAGAGCAGCUACAGCUUCUUGUGCUUUACCAUGGAUCUUACAUUGGAGAAGUAGUGGCCACUCUUCAUAAGGCCACUGAAGUGCAGUCGCAAUGCGCUCAAAUGCCGGAAAAUAACUGUCAACUUCAGAGUCUCUGAAUGGUGGAACAAGAGAAAUAUGCUUACCAAUGUCAAAGGACUCUCGGGUAGAGCUGGUGGAAGGAGGUGACAUUAUUGCAUCUGCAGAUGCAUCCAGUGCCGGGGUUGCUUUCAGCUGAGCUUCUAGCUCCAGCUGACGUAGUCGGACUGCUUUAUCAGCCUCGAUCUCCAUUUUACGGAUCUCAAGCCUCAGCUUUGCUUGCCGGUUCUCGGCUCUCUCCUGAGCCUCCAUCUGGAUUCGUGCCAGCCUGACUUUCAGUCUGGCCUCACCCAGAGAAUCAGUGCUGCCUGAGAAAGGAGGAUCAUAGCGAGGCAAGGUAAAGGGAGUUUUGGGCUGAGCAGACACUUUACUGAACUCCCUUUGUGCAGUGUAAUCAGCCGCAGUCUCAGAGCCAGGUGCACACACAGGUGACUCAGGGAGCACCGGCAAAACAAUUACACCUAAUUCCACCAACUUACCUAUGACUAGAGAUUUUAAUUCUUUUUUCAGGAUUGAUUUGGCAAACAGGACAUUGAAGUGCACAGCUAUCUCGACCAAAUUAUCCUUUCUGCACUUAUUAAUUUGGUCAAGUGUCGGAUUUAACAAGAAGCUGUCAAGAUUGAAAGAUGCCAUUUUACCUACCUAAGCACACACACAAUAAUCUUACCUUUAGUAACAAUAACUUUUCGGAUUUCCGGGUCUCCUUUAACGGAUUAGGAUCCCGGACGAGCCCCCAUUUAUGUUACGACCAGCUCGUUUAAGGGAGAAGGGAAGCAACAUAAAACCGACCAGAUGUUAAAUGAUCAAAUCAAGUUAUUUAUUAACAAAAGUAAAAUUGGCAGUAACAACAAAAAGAGAGGCAACAAAGGCCUUAAAGGAAACUUAACAGGUUGCCAAAAACACAGGGAGACUCUAACCUAGAGUUAGUUACCAGUAAAAUAAACAGAUCUGCUCACAAUCGGCAAGAAACAAACUAAAACACAACUCUCAGCCCUAAUGCUGGAUACAAAAGAAAGCAGGUAGGCGUGUGCAAACCAAAAUGCCUCACAAGCAAUGAAAAAGUCCUUAUUCACAAUUACUAAGACAAUCAGUCUGAGGAAGAGGCAUGGGAGCUCCACUGGUUACAGCGUGCUCCCUGAUCUGCAGGUCCGCUGGAGUUUUAUCCACUCCCCCCAAGUGGCUCCUCUCAAUUGGCAGAAGCCCUCAGCCAGUCAGUGUUUGCAGUCAGUUUCCAGGUGGAGGUGAUCAGGCACUUAAUUGAUCCGCAGCCACGGCAACCUGUGAACUGCAGGCAGCAUGCACACACAGGCACUCUCACACCCGCACACACACACACACACAGAGAGAGAGAGAGAGGAAGACCCAAGACUCGCCACUCUAAGGCGGUGGCCGUAACACUUUUGG
rnacentral:lncRNA from 1 species